AGUGGAAUUUUUUCAUUUUUGGAAGAGGUCUAUAACCUCCACAAAUCAUUUUACACUUUUCAUUCCCUUUUAUCUUUUUUCAGCUUUUCCCUCCACCACGUUUGGUUACACUCUGCCUUCAUUUUUGCUUUGGAUUAGGGUUUAGUUCAGGGAAAUUGGUCUCCGUCGUCGCUCGUUGGUAGUCGUCGCUCGUUGGUAGUCGUCGCUUGUCGACAGUCAUCAUCGUCGGUCAGUGCUCGUUGUCAGCGGCGACAUUCAGUGAAAUCGUCUCUAUCAUGGCUCGUUUGUCGUUCACUUGUGCUCGUCAUCGUCGACCUUCAAGGUGAACCCAAAAGCUACCAACUAAAUGAUAUUUGUUUAGGAAAGAUUAGAAAAGAGUAGAUAAUUGACUGAAUUACAACUCCAUAUCAACUCUUGUCCCUAAAGUUGGAAAGGAGAAAGAAUUGGCGAAGGAAAAGAUUCAAAAGUGUGAUGUAAAAAUUAGAUUAGUUGUAACAGGACACUUGUGCUACCUUCAAAUACUGCCAUUGCACCUGUGAAUCCAACAUUUUUGCCUAGGUCUGAAGAUGAAAGGGAAAUGUGCUCAAGAAGCUCAGGACACAAGGCACCGCUGUUGAUCGGGUGUGAUGUCAGAAAUUUGACUGCUGAAACACUUGAGAUUUUAAGCAAUGAAGAAGUCAUUGCCAUUAAUCAAGACUCACUUGGAGUCUAGGGAAGGAAAGUUUUGCAUGGAACCAUUCCUAAUGAACUUACCAAUUAUUCUGAUCUAAGAGCACUGUUUGAGGGUACUCACCUUUGGAUUUCACUUGGUUUUCCUAUUGUACUCCCCCAUGCUGAAAGUGAUCAAGCUGCAGCCAUGCCAAAGGUGAAGCGUUUCCGAAAUCCACAAAAAUCAUCACUUCAGCUUCCAGCUAAUUCUUUACCAUCAACAAAUCCUGCACCAACUAAUUAUCUUGCAAACCAGUGAUGCAAAUGAGCCUGAGUCUUCUAUGGGUACAAGAGGAUCAUCUGGUGGUAGCAACAUUUAGGGUGUUGAUGAUGUUUUAUAGGAUAAAACUAUUUUAGUGUAUUAUGAAGAGGUUGUAGCCUAGUCGUACGACGAGGUUUCAGAAGAUUGCCCUUGUUGGUAUUGCGCAGCGAAAUGUUUAGUGUAUAGGGGUAACACGUGGCAACUCGAGGUUGUAGCCUAGUCGUACGACGAGGUUUCAGAAGAUUGCCCUUGUUGGUAUCACGCAACGAAAUGUUUAGUGUAUCGACAAAAACCAAGAGGGGGGUGAAUUGGUUUUAAGUAAUAAAAUUAAUA